GACUCUCAGCAUCAGAUAUCUCGGCUCUCGCAUCGAUGAAGAAUGUAGCGAAAUGCGAUACCUGGUGUGAAUUGCAGAAUCCCUCGAACCACCAAGUCUUUGAACGCAAGUUAUGCCCGAGGCCACCCGGCCGAGGGCACGCCUACCCGGACAUCA